rnacentral:lncRNA from 1 species
GUCCGGCUACUAUACUAUUAUGAGUACGAUCACCCUCGUACUCAUAAGUUGUUUUCGAUGAUAGAGCUUCCGAAUGGACGAUCCACACCGAUAAAUGUUAUUUACAACAUUUAAAAUUUAUAGAAAUCAAAAUUUAUAAUUUUUCGACAUCAUUUACCUUACGAUCAAGAGGUCAGAAAUUUGACAAUUUUUAACGGCCGGUAUGAGAUACUUGCUAGUUUAACGAUGUAAAGGAAUCAGAAUUUGUUGAAUUUUUGAUAGAAAAUUCUAUUCACUACAUAGAUAAAGAUCAAUAACUCCGAUCUUGAAUUGAAGGAUCCGAUCAUCCUUUUUUAGGACGUCGUUCGAUUUUGACCCUUCAUUUUAUGCACACUUGAUGGACUUUAUUAUGAUUUAAAAAAUUUACGAAAUUUAUUUUCUAGAAGUUUCAAAUACUCUAGAUCAUAUUUUACGGAGUGGAUCGUCGAUUCAGAAGCUCCAUCAUUGAAAACAACUUAUGAGUACAAGGGCUCCAAUACUCAUAAUAGUAUAGUAGCCAUGGCAUAUAUAUAUAUAUAUAUAUAUAUAUAUAUAUAGAGAGAGAGAGAGAGAGAGAGAGAGAGAGAGAGAGAGAGAGAGAGAGAGAGAGAGAGAGAGAGUUGAGCUAGAAUACUCUUUUUUUUUUUUAGAAAAAGGUAGCAAGCUACCUGCUUCAUUCAUAAAGCGGGAUGAAUUAAGCGUAUAGUGUGAUACCCCAAUAGUCCCACAUCGGAUGGGAAUGGGGUUGUCAUUGGGUUUAUAAGAAACUUAGACACUAGUAAUAAUAACUGGGCUUAAGCAUUUUGGGCUGUUGGCUGGGCCCAACGAGUUAUUAUUGCCAGUGGGCUGGGUCGUUACAUUUGGUAUCAGAACCGGUUCACCAGCUGGACAUGUGUGGCGAGUCUCGGCUGAGCCAGGGUCUGGAUGACAGGCUAGCGAGACGAGUCUCACAUCGCCUGGUGAUCUUGGGCUGUGUGUGAUUGGACUGACGAGGACGUCAGGGCCUUAACGGGGGGAGUUUGUGACAACCCAAUAGUCCCACAUCGGAUGGGAAUGGGGUUGUCAUUGGGUUUAUAAAAAACUUAGACACUAGUAAUAAUAACUGGGCUUAAGCAUUUUAGGCUGUUGGCUGGGCCCAACGAGUUAUUAUUGCCAGUGGGUUGGGUCGUUACAUAUAGGAUGGAAGCAACAAAGGCCUCCAAAAACGGCAAAAGAAGAAAACAGAGAUAAAGGAAAGGAACAAAAGAAAAAAGGUGAGAACAGAAAAGAGAGGGUGAGGGGUUUAGCUAGGUGAAGAGUGAGGUCGGGUCAGUAUA